UGCCAGCAGCCGCGGUAAUACGGAGGGUGCAAGCGUUGUCCGGAAUCAUUGGGUGUAAAGGGUACGUAGGCGGGAGCCUAAGUCUGGGGUGAAAUCUUGCCGCUUAACGGUAAAAUGGCCCUGGAUACUGGGUUUCUUGAGUGCAGAAGAGGCAGGUGGAAUUCGUGGUGUAGCGGUGAAAUGCUUAGAUAUCACGAAGAACAUCAGUGGCGAAGGCGGCCUGCUGGUCUGCAACUGACGCUGAGGUACGAAAGCGUGGGGAGCGAACAGGAUUAGAUACCCUGGUAGUCCACGCCGUAAACGAUGCAUACUAGGUGUUGGCCUUAGGGCCAGUGCUGCAGUUAACGCAUUAAGUAUGCCACCUGGGGAGUACGUCGGCAACGAUGAAACUCAAAGGAAUUGACGGGGGCCCGCACAAGCGGUGGAGCAUGUGGCUUAAUUCGAUGCAACGCGAGGAACCUUACCUGGGCUCGAACGCUACUUGCCGAUGUCGGAAACGACAUUUUCCUUCGGACGGUAGUGAGGUGCUGCAUGGUUGUCGUCAGCUCGUGCCGUGAGGUGUUGGGUUAAGUCCCGAACGAGCGCA
rnacentral:rRNA from 1 species